UGUUUUCUUCUGCAUCUGGCAACCCUGUGCAAAUCGUGAUGAAGUCGAGCUGCUCCACUUUUGCGCAACGCAGUGGAGGGAACAGGAGAAGGGACGGGGCCAGUGACGUCUCUGCACUUCACUAGGUUGCACGCCAGGGGCGAGCACGUGACUGCAGCAAGUUCGUGUCACGAGGACGGAGUACUAUUUUACACACACACACACACACACAGACACGCAACCCAGGCGGUUUUACCCGGUAACCCAGCGCGAGCGUAACACAAUCGCUUUCUUUUCAAAUAUUAAUUAUUGCUUCAUUUAUUUAUAUAUCUAUCCAUGCAUCAGGGCAUUUCUUUCCCCAUGCCUUUUUAAUAUGCGGUUCUGUAUGUUCGAGAAGAAAAAAAAUCCAAUAUAUUGUGUCUAUGCUCAAUUUUAAAUCGCAUGAAAAUGUAAAAAAAAUAAAUAAAAUAAAUCUCCAUGCGCAUCAUUGCUGUAGAUUUUCACGAACCGAGUCACACACACCUUCAGCAAUAUCUAGUUGGUAUUCGAGUCGACUCGCAUUUUUCGACUGCACUUCCUUGCGAUUUCAUCACGCACCGGCGUGGCGGAUUUCUCUCUCCAGCGCGUGAACUUUUCUUCACUUACGCAAUGAUGCGCAAUUUAGACGCACCUAUAGAUUUCACUUUCCCGUAAGGUAGCCUAUGGAUUAUAUAUAAAGCAAAGCUUAAGGUGACUCAUUCAAAAAACACCCAAGCACAGGUCCAGGAGGUUCAGCUUGUUAAGCCUGAGGAGAUAGUUAGCAGGGAUGAGCUGGAAGUAUGAAUGGGAGAGUGCGUUAUAAAAGGCGCGAGCGCAGACGUCAGCGGGCACCCGAGACGCCGGCGGCGCGCGAGACACAGACGCUCUUACAGCAUCGCUCGGGAUCUCGAGCCGCAGCCGCUGUGCAAAAAAAUGCAACCAAAAAUAAAGAAAACACUGAG